rnacentral:hammerhead_ribozyme from 1 species
ACCCAAUAGACGAGUCCCAAAUAGGACUAAUCAUACGUCUUGGAU